rnacentral:rRNA from 1 species
GGUCAGCAGCGAGAAAAAACGUAGGAUCCGAGCGUUAUCCGGAUUUACUGGGCGUAAAGCGCGUGCAGGUGGUUCGGUAAGUUGGAUGUUAAAUCUCCCGGCUCAACUGGGAGCUGUCGUUCAAAACUGCCAAACUAGAGGACGGUAGAGGGAGGUGGAAUUCCGGGUGUAGUGGUGAAAUGCGUAGAUAUCCGGAGGAACACCAGUGGCGAAGGCGGCCUCCUGGCCCGCUCCUGACACUAAGACGCGAAAGCUAGGGUAGCGAACGGGAUUAGACACCCCGGUAGUCCUAGCCGUAAACGAUGUGAACUAGGUGUUGGUGGGGUUAAACCCAUCAGUGCCGCAGCAAACGCGAUAAGUUCACCGCCUGGGGACUACGAUCGCAAGAUUAAAACUCAAAGGAAUUGACGGGGGCCCGCACAAGCAGCGGAGCGUGUGGUUUAAUUCGAUGCUACGCGAAGAACCUUACCUGGGUUUGACAUAUAGGUGGUAGUGAACCGAAAGGGGAACGACUCCUCGGAGAGCCUAUACAGGUGUUGUAUGGCUGUCGUCAGCUCGUGCCGUGAGGUGUCCGGUUAAGUCCGGUAACGAGCGCAACCCUUGCUGUAUGUUAUACGUGUCAUACGGGACUGCCGGUAUAAAGCCGGAGGAAGGUGGGGACGACGUCAAGUCAGCAUGACCUUUAUAUCCAGGGCUACACACACGCUACAAUGGCCAGUACAACAGGUUGCAAUACCGCGAGGUGGAGCCAAUCCCUAAAACUGGCCUCAGUUCGGAUUGCGGGCUGCAACUCGCCUGCAUGAAGUCGGAGUUGCUAGUAACCGCGCGUCAGCAUUAGUGCGGUGAAUACGUUCCCGGGCCUUGCACACACCGCCCGUC